CAGACUCCAUCCUCUGAGGCUCCUCUACAACUGGACUCUGAAUGGAGAUCCACUGAUGGAUGGAAACAGCAGCAUUGAUCUGGAUGAGGGGAUGAGGGGAGACAUCAGCUGCAGCGUGAAGAACCACGUCAGUCACGCACAGAACACCAUUAGACUCAAACCCUGUGCUGGUGAGAUCAGUUCUGUUCAUCUACAGAUAUCAACUACACAGACUGAUUGAUUGAUUGAUUGAUGUGUUUGUGUUGUUCAGUGUGUUCAGUGUCUGUGGUGUUUGUGCUGGUCUGGUGUCUUCAGCUGAUGGUUCUGUUGGGUCUGUUAGGAGGUUUUCACAUCUACAUGAGACACACGUCAGGAAAGAAGCAGGAAGAUCAGAAAGUGAGGAUGAGAAGAUUUAGAGAAGCACCUGAACACACAGCAGAAGAUUCAUGAGAGCAGCAGCAGAUCAUCACAUCUAUGAGAAAUAACUUCAUAAUCUCACCGAUUCUCACAUCAAUCCAGCUUUGACCUGUCGACAGCAGAUCUUAUAAUAUAAACCCAAGAGAUUAAUUGAAACCAGGAGGUAUGAAUUAAACCAGACUUUCUACAGUUUUAGUUAUGACGAUUAUUUUCUGGACAUUUGUCUUUUGUAACAGUUUUAUUGCUUAUAUUACUUAUUUAUCUGCACACUUUGAAAGUACUAUAAGUUAAUUUAUUUCAUUACAUGAAACCCCUUCUGAUCAUCACUGAUAAAACUUGUAUUUCUCUGAAUCAGAUCUGUCACAUUGUGUUUAUUGUCAUAUGCUCUUUUACUUUAUUCUGUUGUUCUGGUUGAUUUUUUUUCAUUUACAGUGUCUGUUUAGAUGUUUUUUAGUGUCUGUUGUUUUGCUGUCAGUGGUUUGGUUUUGCUUGAAUUUGCAGUUGAGUUUUAACAUAUAAAACCACAUUCAUGCAUUAUUCUUCACGAGAUAUUUGCAUCAUUAUAGAACAUUGCUAAACAUGCCCUUCUUUAGACGGUGUAAAUGGGGUCAUUGCUGAAUUAGUUUGAGUUAAAUGUGAAAAUAAAACACUUUGAAAUGAAACAGUAUUUGCAGUCAAAAGUCGCAAACUCAUACAAUGUUUAUAUUUUAACAGUCAAUUAACAUUUUAUCCAACAGAAAACACACAUCAAUAAAUUGAAACAUAAGAAAACGUGUGUAUAAAAACAAUAAAUCCAGAC
rnacentral:lncRNA from 1 species